UGUGUGUGUGCAUGUGUGUGUAUAUAUGUGUGUGUGUGUGUGUGUGUGGUGGGGGGGGCCAUGCAUGUGGGAAUGCGUGUGCUUGUUUAUCUAUGUAGAAGCACGGAAGGAGCAGGAGGUAGGGAGGGCGAGAAAGAGAGAGAGAGAGAGAGAGAAAGAGAAAGAGAGAGACAGAUUUGUAAGGCACUUGUAUUUGCAAACUACUGGCCGAGUUCCCACUAGAGGCAGAGAGAUCAGACUGAAAGACUGUGUGUCAGGAUUGUGUGUCUGCGAGUGUGUGUUUGUGUGCGUGUCUGGGAAAGACACAGAGAGACGGGCAGACAGUGAGAGAGAAAGAAACCCGUUCAACCCAUUUCAGAGACAACUUUUCAUCCUGUGUACAUGAGGUUUCUCCCUAAAUAUGGAAGCUUUUCACUCUCUUGUGUUUGAUCUUUUUGUCCUACCAUCCAGCCAUCACAGUUCCAUGCUGCUCAACUUUUGGCCGCACUUUAGGCUGAAGAUGAGGGGAGCGCCGGCUCGACGGAGACAGAUGAGAGUUUUGUUAGUAGUUUUGCAGAAGGUGAGGAUGAUGACAACGAAGAUGGUGUUCACCACGUCUGCAGGGCUAUUUAAGGAAACCCAAACCUUUGCAUCACCACCUCUCCUCGCUCGCUCCCGCUGGAUUCUCAUUGUUAUUUGAGCCUCCACACCGACAUGGGUGGUAACACAUUUUGGCAUGGAAAUGCUCCACACAGGCCAAGAGAAACACAGAAGCACACACGGACAGACACACAAACGUCUGUGAUGCUCAGCCCACAGUUAUGUCUAGCUUGUCUUUCUUGGUGAUGAUUAGCUUUACAAAGUUAGUAUUUUUUACUAUCAUAGCCAUCUGUUGACAGCUGAGGUGGAUGUAUAAGGCAAUGACAUGUCUGACAUCAUAGCAGGCAAGCAAAAAACGAAAAUGUAUGUUUUGAUUGGAACUGCAGACAUUUAAAAUCUAUGUGGUUUGGAUGGAAACGAACAAGCGAGGGACAGGCGUAUGUUUCUGUGAAUUUCCACUUGUCUGAGUCAAACUGCAGCGAGAAAGAGGGGCUGAAGAAGAAUGAAAAUAAACUUGGUAGCUUGACUUUUCUUGCUCA